rnacentral:sRNA from 1 species
UUAUAGCCGUGGUUGUAGCGGCAUCCUUUUAUUUUGUUGCCUGAUAGAAGGCAACAAAAUAAAAGAUAUAGCGGAAGACACGAAGAUUU